CCCGCCACUGUUCUUGUCUGUAAAAGUGACUACGUAUAGUCCAGUGGAGGCUGAUAUUGACCCAGCUCUAGGAAGCAGGGCUGCUCAGUUAAGUGGGUAACUCUGUGCCAAAAGGCCUGGAACAUGU